rnacentral:rRNA from 1 species
CGGACGGGUGAGUAACGCGUGGAAAACCUGCCGUAUACUGGGGAUAACACUUAGAAAUAGGUGCUAAUACCGCAUAAGCGCACAGCUUCGCAUGAAGCGGUGUGAAAAACUCUGGUGGUAUACGAUGGUUCCGCGUCUGAUUAGCUAGUUGGUGGGGUAAUGGCCUACCAAGGCAACGAUCAGUAGCCGGCCUGAGAGGGUGAACGGCCACAUUGGGACUGAGACACGGCCCAAACUCCUACGGGAGGCAGCAG